rnacentral:rRNA from 1 species
AGAGUUUGAUCCUGGCUCAGGAUGAACGCUGGCGGCGUGCUUAACACAUGCAAGUCGAACGAAGCACUUUAUUUGAUUUCUUCGGAAUGAAGAUUUUGUGACUGAGUGGCGGACGGGUGAGUAACGCGUGGGUAACCUGCCUCAUACAGGGGGAUAACAGUUGGAAACGACUGCUAAUACCGCAUAAGCGCACGGGGUCGCAUGACCUGGUGUGAAAAACUCCGGUGGUAUGAGAUGGACCCGCGUCUGAUUAGCCAGUUGGUGGGGUAACGGCCUACCAAAGCGACGAUCAGUAGCCGACCUGAGAGGGUGACCGGCCACAUUGGGACUGAGACACGGCCCAAACUCCUACGGGAGGCAGCAGUGGGGAAUAUUGCACAAUGGGGGAAACCCUGAUGCAGCGACGCCGCGUGAGCGAAGAAGUAUUUCGGUAUGUAAAGCUCAAUCAGCAGGGAAGAAGAAAUGACGGUACCUGACUAAGAAGCACCGGCUAAAUACGUGCCAGCAGCCGCGGUAAUACGUAUGGUGCAAGCGUUAUCCGGAUUUACUGGGUGUAAAGGGAGCGCAGGCGGUACGGCAAGUCUGAUGUGAAAGCCCGGGGCUCAACCCCGGUACUGCAUUGGAAACUGUCGGACUAGAGUGUCGGAGGGGUAAGUGGAAUUCCUAGUGUAGCGGUGAAAUGCGUAGAUAUUAGGAGGAACACCAGUGGCGAAGGCGGCUUACUGGACGAUUACUGACGCUGAGGCUCGAAAGCGUGGGGAGCAAACAGGAUUAGAUACCCUGGUAGUCCACGCCGUAAAC